CCAACUCUCUCAGUGUUCUUUCUCUUAGUAUUGGUGCCCUCAUGGCUGGAUUUUCUGGUUUAAUAUCAGCAUAUACAGUAGGUCCAGCUGGUCUUUGAAUAGGGGCAGCAGGUUGCACGUGAAAUUCAGCCAUCUCAGCGGCUGUUUGGACAAUUUCUGCAGCUGUGUUUGCAAGGGCUGGUUCUGCAGAUUCUGGUUCUGUUAAGGUAAUUUUUG
rnacentral:lncRNA from 1 species